UCCUACGGGAGGCAGCAGUGGGGAAUAUUGGACGAUGGGGGCAACCCUGAUCCAGCCAUGCCGCGUGUGUGAAGAAGGCCCUCGGGUUGUAAAGCACUUUCAGCGAGGAAGAACACCUAGCGGUUAAUACCCGCUAGGAAAGACAUCACUCGCAGAAGAAGCACCGGCUAACUCCGUGCCAGCAGCCGCGGUAAUACGGAGGGUGCAAGCGUUAAUCGGAAUUACUGGGCGUAAAGCGCGCGUAGGUGGCUUGAUAAGCCGGUUGUGAAAGCCCCGGGCUCAACCUGGGAACGGCAUCCGGAACUGUCAAGCUAGAGUGCAGGAGAGGAAGGUAGAAUUCCCGGUGUAGCGGUGAAAUGCGUAGAGAUCGGGAGGAAUACCAGUGGCGAAGGCGGCCUUCUGGACUGACACUGACACUGAGGUGCGAAAGCGUGGGUAGCAAACAGGAUUAGAUACCCUGGUAGUCCACGCCGUAAACGAUGUCGACCAGCCGUUGGGUGCCUAGCGCACUUUGUGGCGAAGUUAACGCGAUAAGUCGACCGCCUGGGGAGUACGGCCGCAAGGUUAAAACUCAAAUGAAUUGACGG
rnacentral:rRNA from 1 species